UACGUAGGGAGCAAGCGUUGUCCGGAAUCAUUGGGCGUAAAGAGCGUGUAGGCGGUCCUGUAAGUCCGCUGUGAAAGUCAAGGGCUCAACCCUUGAAUGCCGGUGGAUACUGCAGGACUAGAGUCCGGAAGAGGCGAGUGGAACUCCUGGUGUAGCGGUGGAAUGCGCAGAUAUCAGGAAGAACACCAACGGCGAAGGCAGCUCGCUGGGACGGUACUGACGCUGAGACGCGAAAGCGUGGGGAGCGAACAGG
rnacentral:rRNA from 1 species